rnacentral:lncRNA from 1 species
CGGCUGUCGGCGGCCAGUCCCAAGGCCAGCCCUGCCCUGCCAGCCCCUGGGGGGUCUCCUGGGCCCUCCAGGGCUCUGCCCAGACCGAGCCGCCUCCGGCCCCGGCCCCGGCCCCGGCCCGGGGGAAUUCCCUCCCUAAGGUCUCCCGCUCGCUCGCGUGUACACGCCCAAACACACACUUCCAUCGCCCACGCACCCACGAGAAACCCCCGCGAUCCACGGCGCAGGGCUUCAUUGGUGCGCAAGUGAGGAAGCACCCCCAGUAUUUCUGGGUAAGUGAGGAAGUACCCCCACUAUCUCUAGGCAAGUGAGGAAGCACUCCCACUAUCUCUGGGUAAGUGAGGAAGUACCCCCACUAUCUCUAGGCAAGUGAGGAAGCACUCCCAGCAUCUCUGGGUAAGUGAGAAAGCACCCCACUAUCUCUGGGUAAUUGAGGAAGGAGUCUGAUAUCUCCAGGCAAGUGAGGAAGCACCCCCACUAUCUCUAGGCAAGUGAGGAAGCACUCCCAGUAUCUUUGUAUAAAUGGGAAAUCACUCCAUAAGCUCCGGGA